CACUGGUCCGAUGGUAGUGGGUUAUCAGAGCUUGUUAACAUUAGUGUCACAAAAGUUGUUAUUUAACCCCCCCUGCUAAAUAUGACUGGCUUUAA
ensembl:misc_RNA Y_RNA Y RNA